GCGCAUCUUCGUUUUUUAAACGUUUAAUUUAUUAUCAAAUAAAAUAAACACAGUGCUGUUAUUAGUUAUAGCAGAACAAUGAAAAUGUUAACUUAAUUAAUCAGACAUGCAAGUUAUUGAAAUACUACAUCUCAAUUAAUAAAUUAUCCAGAAUGGUGAAUGAUUACCUUCGGCUGGUGGACUAUGGUGCUUUAUUCACAUUUCUGAUAUUUAUAUCUCUGUCAAUAGGAUGCUGCACAUGGUGUUACUGCAUAAGAGCCCAUGACAAAGCAAUAGAGCAUUAUGUGACAAAUUUGGCAAAGAAGAAUGGAAUACAAGUGGAACCUUACACAAUACAAACAGAGCCUUGUUGCCGAUCACCUCAUGCUAAUGAGAACUGUUCCAUUUUUGUGCCAGAUGUAGGUAUUAUACUGUAAACCCUUAUUAUCUUUACAAUUUUUAUACAAAUGUGAAUAAAAUGACAACACACAUGCAUCAGCUAACUAGCUGCUAGCGUGUCACCCAAAAUAAUAAUAAUUAGACCAUGCGGAUACAGCAGCAAUAAAUUUGUGAUUAACUUUACCCUUAAGUCUUAACUUUAAUACACAAGCACUUUUGACGCUCGCCAUUCAUCGUAGUAGUAGUAGGGGUUACAGUUUCCACAACUCCAUGGCUAGCGCGUAUUUUGCGUGAGGAACAUGACGUGGAUUAUUCCAGCCAACUUAACUAUCCGAAAAACCCCAGCAAACCCUUUAUGUUGCUGGUGAUCUCCGGGAGCGAUCUUAGCAAACCGAGAUACCUAACCCUGUAUUCACUGGGCAGUGUUAUAUGACAUGUGAUGCGGGUUCUUCCUCCACCAUACAUGUUCUGCAUAAUGUACUGUUUCACACCUAUGUUGUACAGGUGUUUGUUGAAGUGCAGUGACCAGUGAUUCCAUUCACCAUUCAUCUUACAUAAUAAAGAAUUAUGUAUUUACGAUUUAUGAAAGGUUUAUCGGCACAAAGUCUGUAGAGACUAAUA